rnacentral:rRNA from 1 species
GACGAACGCUGGCGGCGUGCCUAAUACAUGCAAGUAGAACGCACAGUUUAUACCGUAGCUUGCUACACCAUAGACUGUGAGUUGCGAACGGGUGAGUAACGCGUAGGUAACCUGCCUGGUAGCGGGGGAUAACUAUUGGAAACGAUAGCUAAUACCGCAUAAUAUUAAUUAUUGCAUGAUAAUUAAUUGAAAGGUGCAAUUGCACCACUACCAGAUGGACCUGCGUUGUAUUAGCUAGUAGGUGAGGUAACGGCUCACCUAGGCGACGAUACAUAGCCGACCUGAGAGGGUGAUCGGCCACACUGGGACUGAGACACGGCCCAGACUCCUACGGGAGGCAGCAGUAGGGAAUCUUCGGCAAUGGACGAAAGUCUGACCGAGCAACGCCGCGUGAGUGAAGAAGGUUUUCGGAUCGUAAAGCUCUGUUGUAAGAGAAGAACGAGUGUGAGAGUGGAAAGUUCACACUGUGACGGUAUCUUACCAGAAAGGGACGGCUAACUACGUG